UACGUAGGCAGCGAGCGUUGUUCGGAGUUACUGGGCGUAAAGGGUGUGUAGGCGGUUGUUUAAGUUUGGUGUGAAAUCUCCCGGCUCAACUGGGAGGGUGCGCCGAAUACUGAAUGACUAGAGUGCGGGAGAGGAGAGUGGAAUUCCUGGUGUAGCGGUGAAAUGCGCAGAUAUCAGGAAGAACACCCGUGGCGAAGGCGGCUCUCUGGGACGGUACUGACGCUGAGACGCGAAAGCGUGGGGAGCGAACAGG
rnacentral:rRNA from 1 species